GACAGAGGGGCAAGCGUUGCUCGGAAUUACUGGGCGUAAAGGGCGCGUAGGCGGGAUGGCGAGUCGGCUGUGAAAUCCCGAGGCUCAACCUCGGGUCUGCAGUCGAUACGAGCAAACUAGAGUGUUGCAGGGGAGACUGGAAUUCCUGGUGUAGCGGUGAAAUGCGCAGAUAUCAGGAGGAACACCCGGUGGCGAAGGCGGGUCUCUGGGCAACAACUGACGCUGGAGGAGCGAAAGCGUGGGGAGCGAACAGG
rnacentral:rRNA from 1 species